ACUACAGAUAAUCUUUUUCGACGAUGCCGUCAACUUGCCUCUCCGAUGUGAUUUGGACAUGACGUUAUUACAUUUGGGGAAAAUCAUUCAUUUGUUUGGUCCACAGACCCCAAGCCUUCUCCAACGAACAUGACGUGACAAAGACGGAAAACGACUCAAUGGUCAUCGUAUUGAAUUACUUUAAUUUCUACAAAUUUUCCAUGAUUUGCUUGAGGCUAAUUCUGUAAAGUUGGGGAGUCAUUUAUCCAAACUCUGUUAAAUUGUUGAUUUCAGGGUGCAUUAUUAUGCUUUAA